GUAAAUAAUUUGUCAUUGGUUCUUAUAUGCGCGGUGACUGUUUUGUUCAUAAUUAAUAUUCCUUUAUUAAAAGUUCUGCCUUUGUCUAGUAAAGACUCACAAUACCACAUUAGAGCAAUUUAUUAGUCAUUUGAAGUCACGUAGAUAUUGUAUCGGAUCACAUUUUGUGGGGUUUUUAGUGUAAUUUGCUUGGGGGAUAAAAGGCACUCCAUUUAUGGUCGUGGUGGUGUUCUAAAAGAUUAACAUUUAUAUUCAUAUAAUUACGUGCGGGUGGUGUUACAACAAAUGUUUAUCAUUAUUUCUGGUCGAAUGCAGAUAAAUUGUGAAUUUUAACCCUUUCACCACCACUCCAAGUCCCACAUACAUUUGGAGUAGGGUGUGUUCGUGAAAAUCCCCCAACCAAAAAAAUAAAAAAGCAACCUCAUUGUUAAACAAAGUCUCUGCUGAUCUACGAAUUAGACACAUUCACCUAACUUUUUACAACAAAGAUACACUACACACAAAAUUAGUAUUAUCCUUAUAAAUAAAGCGGUUUCCGAUUUUUAAAAAGAGGUGGAGAAGUUGCCUUGCACGGCCCAUGC